AAGGUAGAUGAUUUAUAUACUUGUAAUAUAAUUUUGAAACUUUAGUGAGUAGAAGGUACAAUGUAUGCGUAGAAGUGUUUGCGUAAGCCUGCAUGGAGCUGCUAUUGGUACAGAUCUGGGUGGUAGUAGCAAAUAAUCGAAUGAGACCUUGGAGGACUGAAGUGGAGAAGGGUUUCGUGUGAACAGUGGUUGAUCACGAGUUAGUCGGUCCUAAGUUCAAGGCGAAAGCCGAAAAUUUUCAAGUAAAAAUAAAAUUUACUAUAUGUAAAAAUUAUAUACUUGAAUAAUUUUGAACGAAAGGGAAUACGGUUCCAAUUCCGUAACCUGUUGAGUAUCCGUUUGUUAUUAAAUAUGGGCCUCGUGCUCAUCCUGGCAACAGGAACGACCAUAAAGAAGCCGUCGAGAGAUAUCGGAAGAGUUUUCUUUUCUGUUUUAUAGUCGUACUACCAUGGAAGUCUUUCGCAGAGAGAUAUGGUAGAUGGGCUAGAAGAGCAUGACAUAUACUGUUGUGUCGAUAUUUUCUCCUCGGACCUUGAAAAUUUAUGGUGGGGAUACGCAAACUUCUCAACAGGCCGUACCAAUAUCCGCAGCUGGUCUCCAAGGUGAAGAGUCUCUAGUCGAUAGAAUAAUGUAGGUAAGGGAAGUCGGCAAAUUAGAUCCGUAACUUCGGGAUAAGGAUUGGCUCUGAAGAUUGAGAUAGUCGGGCUUGAUUGGGAAACAAUAAUAUGGUUUAUGUGCUCGUUCUGGGUAAAUAGAGUUUCGAUCAUUUAUGGUUGUAACUUGUUCCCCGGAUAGUUAGUUACGUAUCCAAUUGUGGAACUUUCUUGCUAAAAUUUUUAAGAAUACUAGUUGGGUCAAACCAAUUAGUUCUUAUUAAUUAUAACGAUUAUCAAUU
rnacentral:ncRNA from 1 species